rnacentral:rRNA from 1 species
UGGGCAGGGGCGGCAGCUACACAUGCAGUCGAGCGGUAGCACAGGAGAGCUUGCUCUCGGGGUGACGAGCGGCGGAGAGGUGAGUAGUGUCUGGGAAAGUGCCUGAUGGAGGGGGAUCACUUGUGGAAACGGUAGCUAAUACCGCAUAACGUCUUCGGACCAAAGAGGGGGACCUUCGGGCCUCUUGCCCUCAUAUGUGCCCAGAUGGGAUUAGCUAGUAGGUGAGGUAGUGGCUCACCUAGGCGACUAUCCCUAGCUGGUCUGAGAGGAUGACCAGCCACUGUGGAACUGACACACGGUCCACACUCCUACGGGAGGCAGCAGUGGGGAAUAUUGCACAGUGGGCGCAAGCCUGAUGCACCCGUGCCGCGUGUAUGAAAAAGGCCUUCGGGUUGUAAAGUACUUUCAGCGAAGAAGAAGGCUUUGGGGUUAAUAACCGUGGGGAUUGACGUUACUCGCAAAAAAAGCACCGGCUAACUCCGUGCCAGCACCCGCGGUAAUACAGAGGGUGCAAGCGUUAAUCAGAAUUACUGGGCGUAAAGCGCACGCGGGCGGUCUGUCAAGUCAGAUGUGAUAUCCCCGGGCUCACCCUGGGAACUGCUUUCAAAACUGGCACGCUAGACUCUUGUAGAGGGGGGUAGAAUUCCAGGUGUAGCGGUGAUGUGCGUAGAUAUCUGGAGGAACACCGGUGGCAAAGGCGGCCCCGUGCACAAACUCUGACUCUCAGGUGCGAACGCGUGGAGAACAAACAGUAUUAUAUACUGUGCUUCUCCACGUCAUAGACGAUGUCCAUUUGGGCUUGCUCCUGUGAAGAGUCCUUUCCAUACCUAACGAGGUAUUUCAAUCUUCUCAUUAUGCCUUUCCUUCCGUUAACGUAAUGUGAUUUAUUUCGCACCCUAACACACCGU